AGUGACUCAUCCAACGCUAUUAAAUACUGGAAAAUGGCAGACAGAACUACUCAGUUUCUUGCUUUUGUAUUGCUGCAGUGGGCUGAGAAACAACCAUUUAGAAAGCCGUGCAGGAAGGGAGGGGGAAAAAACACGACAUACUACAAAAACUGAAAGUAAAGCUUCACAUUAAACCUGAACGAUACAGCUGCUACUGCAACAUUACGGUUCAAGGAAAGAUAAGCUAUCGAGGAUGAGUUUGACCGCGUUAAAUUUUGAAUGUGGGUCCUAUGCAUUUAGGGGUUUGAACAUAUCCACUGCUGCUGUGUGCGCUCUGGUGAUUGGAGCAGCAGUGGUGGCAGGAGUGAUACUGUUCUUGCGCCUGGUGGAGGAAAAGAAGAUUUUAUCAACAAAUUCAUCCCUCUGGAAUUAACUGCACUUUUGAUGAAUUCGUGUCUCUGAAAUAAAGUCUAUGCUUCUGAAGUA